ensembl:lncRNA
AGCUGUGGGGCCACUCCUCUGACCACUUUGCCUGGCCUCCUGGGUCUUCAGUGCUUUCAGGGCUAAGGGGCCUCUAUAGUCUCCUGCUCUCUGGCUUCCCCCUGCCUCAAGGAUCUCCACCUCCCAGAGCAUUGCCAAUUCAGCAGGAGCUUCCCUGGGUGGCUGCGAGUCGACCCGACCCGGGUCCCCAGCGCUGUGCGGAGCGAGCGCCUGCCUGAGACCCCAGCGGAACCCCGUCCGGCCUGAUUCGGCUUGCCGGCCAGCGGCCCCUAGGAGCAGGCUCAGGCAGAAAAGUCUCGCCAACAGAGCCUCCGUCCCCGGGCCACCGCCGCCGCCUUCAGAGCCAAAUCCCUCCCGGUGGAACCACCUGAGGAUGCGGCGCGGGGCGUUGCCGACCUCGAACCUCUGUUCGCAGGGGCCCGGCCCCACUUACCACCAGGCCAGCGGUCCCCUCGGCACUCGGGACACCGGGCCUGGGGUCUGAUUUCAUCCGCCGAGGAUCGAGAAAGCGGAUUAGUUUUUCCAUGCACACUUAAAAAAAUAUUUAUUUUGCUGUUGUUGGAUGAAGUAGUCUAUAAACAGCAAUUAAGUCCAUUUGGUUGAGUUCUUUAUGCUAAUUUUUUGUCUAGUAUUUCUAUCAAUUACUGAAAAAAGUGUUGAUACUUCAAUUAUAAUUGUGGAGCUACCUGUUUUUCUUUUCAGUUCUAUCAGUUUUGCUUCACGUGUUUUGAAACUCUUCUAU